GAUGAAGAACGCAGCGAAAUGCGAUAAGUAAUGUGAAUUGCAGAAUUCAGUGAAUCAUCGAAUCUUUGAACGCACAUUGCGCCCCCUGGUAUUCCGGGGGGCAUGCCUGUUCGAGCGUCAUUUCACCACUCAAGCCUCGCUUGGUAUUGGGCAACGCGGUCCGCCGCGUGCCUCAAAUCGACCGGCUGGGUCUUCUGUCCCCUAAGCGUUGUGGAAACUAUUCGCUAAAGGGUGCUCGGGAGGCUACGCCGUAAAACAAACCCAUUUCUAAGGUUGACCUCGGAUCAGGUAGGGAUACCCGCUGAACUUAAGCAUAUCGCGGAGGA
rnacentral:misc_RNA from 1 species